GAGUUGAUCCUGGCUCAGGGUGAACGCUGGCGGCGCGCUUAAUGCAUGCAAGUCGAGCGUGAUCGUGGCUUCGGCCACAAUGAUAAAGCGGCAGACGGCUGAGUAACGCGUGAGUAAUCUGCCCUCCGGUGGGGUAUAACCUCGGGAAACUGAGGAUAAUCCCGCAUACGACCUGCAUCCCUUGGGGUGUAGUUGAAAGGCUUCGGUCGCCGGAGGAGGAGCUCGCGUCCUAUCAGGUUGUUGGUGGGGUAAUGGCCUACCAAGCCUAUGACGGGUAGCUGGUCUGAGAGGAUGACCAGCCAGAGGGGGACUGAGAACGGCCCCCACUCCUACGGGAGGCAGCAGCAGGGAAUCUUGGGCAAUGGGCGAAAGCUGACCCAGCGACGUCGCGUGGGGGACGAAGGCCUUAGGGUUGUAAACCCCUUUUCCGAGGGAAGAUACAGGACGGUACCUCGGGAAUAAGCCCCGGCUAACUACGUGCCAGCAGCCGCGGUAAUACGUAGGGGGCGAGCGUUACCCGGAAUCACUGGGCGUAAAGUGCGCGUAGGCGGUUGGAUAAGUCUCUUGUGAAAGCUCCCGGCUCAACUNGGAGAGGUCAAGGGAUACUAUUCGACUUGAGGACAACAGAGGUAAGCAGAAUUCCCGGUGUAGCGGUGGAAUGCGUAGAUAUCGGGAGGAACACCAGUGGCGAAGCGGCUUACUGGGUUGUAACUGACGCUGAGNGCGAGAGGUGGGGGAGCAACUGGAUUAGAUACCAGGUAGUCNCGCCCUAAAC
rnacentral:rRNA from 1 species